rnacentral:rRNA from 1 species
AACGAACGCUGGCGGCAGGCUUAACACAUGCAAGUCGAACGCCCCGCAAGGGGAGUGGCAGACGGGUGAGUAACGCGUGGGAAUCUACCCAGAUCUUCGGAACAACUGAGGGAAACUUCAGCUAAUACCGGAUACGCCCUACGGGGGAAAGAUGUAUCGGUUCUGGAUGAGCCCGCGUAAGAUUAGCUAGUUGGUGGGGUAAUGGCCUACCAAGGCGACGAUCUUUAGCUGGUCUGAGAGGAUGAUCAGCCACACGGGGACUGAGACACGGCCCAAACUCCUACGGGAGGCAGCAGUGGGGAAUAUUGGACAAUGGGCGCAAGCCUGAUCCAGCCAUGCCGCGUGGGUGAUGAAGGCCCUAAGGUUGUAAAGCCCUUUCGGCGGGGAAGAUAAUGACGGUACCCGCAGAAGAAGCCCCGGCUAACUUCGUGCCAGCCGCCGCCGUAAUAC